UGUAUAAUUUACGAAACUCAUAUUUUCUAGUAAAUCCGACCGCAAAGUUGCAUCACCGGCAAACGCAUUUCGUAACUGAAUGUUGCUGAAAAGGGUUUUCGACAUUUUCUACUUGGUGCACGGUCUGCAUUUUUUCGUUCUUUGGAUUAACAAUAUUGUUGGCUACCUGCUAAGGCCAACCAUGGUACCACGUCGAUUAUUAUUUGGUUUUCUUAUUUUCCUAACUGCUUUCAGUGGAGAUCAACAAGUACAAAGUGUUUCCGUUCCAGAACUGGGCGUCGGAAAAUUUAACGACGGAAGAGUAGGCCCACAUCCUGGUCAGCAUCACCAGCUGGCGCGACCGAUUAUCCGGAAUUCUCAGCGUGGAUGGUGGGAUGAUGGAGGUUUUGAUACUCCAUGGGGUGCCGGUGCGGCUGGUCACCGGGGGUGAACGCACCGUGUAUUUUCUGCCUUUCGCGUAUAUGGCAUUCUCUACUGUGAGGGUGUCAUUCUGUAUUGCGAAGUGAUCAAUAUGGAAUGGCAAUAAAUUUAGUAACUUUUAGAAGCUAACGGCGCUCAUUUAUUUAAAUCUGUCAGCAGGGAAUGAUGAAUUAUUGAGUAAAGUUUUAAAAUGCAGGUUAUCGAUUGAUUUUUUUGGCCAUGCAGCAAACGGGCAACGGAUUGCUCUUUCCGAGUUUUGACCGCAAUGCUGCCCAGAAUUUACUGGUGCACAAUUUCGUCAAAAAAAAUUUAAUAAAAAUCUUUUGGUUGUUGACGCAGAAAGUGCUUCAGUUAUGAGUUAUGUAUUGGGAGUUUAUAUUGAUUAAAGGUUGACGGUGUGG